GAAGGCAUAAUCCUUUUAUCAGCAUAUUGGGGUCUGUCACCAGUGGUGAUAUCCGGUGUAACCAGCACUUCCAAGUCCCGCGGUGAAGAGAGCCUGAGGGGAUUCUGUGGGAAUCAGAAGACGGACACACGGUGUCAGGAUGGAGCACUUUGAUCCAGAUGGGGAAGAAGAGAAGGCCAGAGUCCUUAAAAGGGGUGUGUCUACUUUUGACAGGUCAGUCUUAAUGGAGGGCAGUGUGUGCCAAAGAUAGCUUAGUAUCUUAUUACAAUAAAAGCUUCUCAUUCCAUGUGUUGAUGACAUUAAUGAACUCCCGAUAUUUCUACCGACGCAGUUUAUAAAUUGAUUUGCAAGGUCUCAUUUUAGUUAACCAGGCUAUGAACGAUCUUUGAUAUCUCUACCUUAGGAAAUCACCUUAACAGUUGGUAGUUGCAAGUCUGUGUAAUAUGAACUGAUGUUAACAUCUGUGAAUAUGAACUUGUUAAUAUUGAAGUUGCACAGGCACCCUGAGGGUUUCUAUCUCUUCCUAUUAUAAUUCCAUGAGUUAAAUUGAAGGGACUGUAACAUCAGCUAGAUAACUAGCUCUCACUUCAUGCAAAUGGAACUCAAGAUUAUUCAAAAGUUCCCUUAGCAUAGCAACCAGACAACCAUAGCAACCAGGAAACACUGCUGCAUAGCCUGAGGCAUUGUUUCAUUUCUCAAAAUCAGCUCACCAAAAAGUCAGUCUUGGGUUAAAAGUGGUCACAGCCACUUGCAGAUGACUGACAAAAUGAAUCCUUAGUUUAUGUUAAUUGCAGUCUACGUUACACAUAAAGAAUGGGGUCUUUUGGUCAGCCAAGGUUGCUGUAAAAUAUUUGAAUGAUUGUGAAAUCCAGUUUAAAGACUUUUUUGCCUUGUUCCAGUCUAUAUUCGCUUGUUAUUUGUUGGGAAAUCUGCCAAACUGGCUUUUGUGUUGUAACUAAUAUUUUAACAUUAUAAAUGAAUGUAUAGUGUGUGUGAGUGUGUGUGUGUACAAGAGAGUUAGAGGAUGGUGUCAGUGACAGGUGUGGUCCUUUUGAGGGAGAUGUGAGAACAUCACAUGUUAAUACACUCAUGUUGUAUUAACAGCAUCCAGCUGUUGUUUCUCCUCUUCUCAGUAACAGUUCCACCCGAAACGUAUGAGCGUUUCUAGUGAUGCUUGCAGCCAGAAAUGAAGGAAUUUGA